rnacentral:lncRNA from 1 species
ACCAGAGUUCGACAGAGAGCAGGUGGUGCAAGGGUUUGGCGGAGGAGGUUAGGUUUAUACGAUUCGGCGAUCCCUCCGAGGGGUCCAGUAGCAAUGACGCCCAUGGCGGCGAUCAUGGGCCUUCUCUUGGCCUUGAGCGCUGUGGUGGUGAUCUCUGCUGAGAAGUACCCCUCCCCUUCUCCACCGCCUUACCAUUACAAGUCUCCACCACCACAUCCACCCAAGGAGCACUACCCUCCUCCUCCGAAGAAGCACUACUACUACAAGUCCCCGCCACCGCCUCCUCCACCGGAGAAGCACUACUACUACAAGUCCCCGCCACCGCCUCCUCCUCCCAAGAAGCACUACUACUACAAGUCCCCGCCACCGCCUCCUCCACCCAAGAAGCACUACUACGACAAGUCUCCCCCUCCACCUCCUCCUCCCAAGAAGCACUACUACGACAAGUCUCCCCCGCCACCACACA